rnacentral:tRNA from 1 species
GCUGGGGUAGCCAAGUUUGGUUCAAGGCGCAGGUCUGGAAAACCUGUGAGCGAAAGCUCGCGUGGGUUCAAAUCCCACCCCCAGCG